rnacentral:rRNA from 1 species
AUUGAACGCUGGCGGCAGGCCUAACACAUGCAAGUCGAGCGAGCGGCGGACGGGUGAGUAAUGUCUGGGAAACUGCCUGAUGGAGGGGGAUAACUACUGGAAAAGGUAGCUAAUACCGCAUAACAUCAGAUGUGCGCAGAUGGGAGUAGCUAGUAGGUGGGGUAACGUCUCACCUAGGCGACGAUCCCUCGCUGGCUUGGGAGGAGGACCAGCCACACUGGAACCGAGCCACGGUCCAGCCUCCUACGUGAGGCAGCAGUGGGGAAGAUUGCACAAUGGGCGCAAGCCUGAUGCAGCCAUGCCGCGUGUGUGAAGAAGGCCUUCGGGUUGUAAAGCACUUUCAGCGGGGAGGCGUUACCCGCAGAAGAAGCACCGGCUAACUCCGUGCCAGCAGCCGCGGUAAUAC